rnacentral:tRNA from 1 species
UCCCUGGAGGACUAGUGGUUAUGCCACAUCGCUCUCACGACUGCAGCUUGGGUUCAAUUCCUGGCCAGGGAA